CAGCAGCCGCGGGAAUACGUAGGGUGCGAGCGUUAAUCGGAAUUACUGGGCGUAAAGCGUGCGCAGGCGGUUAUGCAAGACGGAUGUGAAAUCCCCGGGCUCAACCUGGGAACUGCAUUUGUGACUGCAUGACUAGAGUACGGCAGAGGGGGAUGGAAUUCCGCGUGUAGCAGUGAAAUGCGUAGAUAUGUGGAGGAACACCGAUGGCGAAGGCAGCCCCCUGGGCUAAGAUUGACGCUCAUGCACGAAAGCGUGGGGAGCAAACAGGAUUAGAUACCCCAGUAGUCCCUGUCUCUUAUAC
rnacentral:rRNA from 1 species